UUGCAACAUUUUCCAUCUAUACUUUUGCAGCAACGAAAAGACAAAAAAUAUCUUCAUACAAUAACAAUUAUAAACUUUCAUAAUUGUUUUUUUUUU